GGGCAGUGCGUUUAGUUCUAAGAGGAAAGGCCUGUGAAAGGCAGAGCUUUGGCGCAGUAACCACACGACGCGCUCCGUCGCCAUUGUCCUGUAUGGGAGCCCAGGAGGAGCUCGCGCGACCAGGAGGCGCGGCCCCUUUAAAAGUGCCCACGCGGCGGAAAGGUAAGGAGUGGUACGGUGCGGCUGGGAGCGCGCGCGCGCCAAGCCCCGUCCAGUCUCUUUGUAUGCAUGGCGGUGCCCGACUGCAGACUCAAACGGCAUUUACCACCGGUCUUGUGACAAUUUAUGAGGCGGGUAAAAAAAAAAAAAAAAAAAAAGGCUGAAGAGAAAGUCCGUGUUUUGCUACAAACAGCCUCAAAAAUAACGCCGCAGCGCUCGUGGUUUACUUACCCGCUGGGGGGGAGAAGAAGCAAAUACCAGAGCACAUUGAGGACUCCCUUCUGCCGCCGUUUGCUGCAGGCGACGUCACGCCUCCUCAGGACACCGGGGGCGGCCGCUUUUGCUGAUCUUAGCAUCUUCGCAGCUUUUUUUUUUUUUUUUUCCAGAGGGAUGCUUAUGGGGGAAGGAUAGAGCACCAGCGUCCACGGUAGUGUUUAACCCCCAGUCCUCGGCCUCCUUGGACGCGGCAGCGGCACACCUAUUGAUAUUGUUGAGAGCGGACUCGCCCGCAUCCCGCCUCCCCCCCCCCCUUUCCCUCCCGCGCGCCGUUCCCACGCGCCAGUUGCGGGAAGGAUGAUGGUUGCUGCAUAGCGGCACCUGCGAUGACCGACUGGGAGUGGAAGCGCUUGGGGUCCGUGGUACUGUGAAGGGACGAGACCCGAGAGUUUGACGCAGACGUUUGUGCGCGCGCGUCUGCUUUUUUAUUAUAUUUCUGAGAAGUAAACAUCUACAGAGAACUCCGCGGCGACCCCCCGCUAACGGAUAUCGCCGGGUUUAGCUGAAGGUGACACCCUAUCCGCAGGUAAGACACUUUUCUUUAAUACUACUCGCAAAAUUAAGAUUCGCUGAAGAUGACUGGAAAGGUAAUUUAUGGCCUUUUUCAACAGGAUUGCCAUCUGAAUGAGCGCGCUGCAGUAAAUCAGGGUGCUAAUGAUCAUUAUCGUUAUAAUAUUCUCAGAGGUGCGCAAAAUUCCUGAUUUGCAGUUACAUCCGCACGGAUUAUUAGUGCGUUAACUUACUAAAAGUAUAAUGCUCGUUCAAAGUUUGAAAGUUUACAGCCGAUGGUAAGUUUUAUACAGAUUUUAUUCAUUUUCCAGAUGCAGAAUAUAUAUACAUGCAUAUAUAUAUAUUAAUAUUAAUAGCUGAU
rnacentral:lncRNA from 1 species